rnacentral:lncRNA from 1 species
CCCGCGCCGCGAGGUCCUAAGCAGCCCGGGCUGUUGCGCGGCGCUGGCGGGCGGGGACACCGCCGGGGAGUGGAUACUCGGAGGCUCAACCUGGGGCCUCUGCCCGUCCUCCCCUAGGUGCGGAGCGGACGGCGGGCACUGGCAACCCCCGGGCCCCUGGAGAGCCCCGCGGCGGCCCAAGACCCGCUCCCGAGACACGUGGGCCCCUCCGGACUUGGUUGGUCCCUGGAGCCAGCUGCGCUCGUCCUCUCCGGCCUCCUUGUCGGCGCUGGAGUGGGUCCACGUCUGCCUUGCGGAGCGCGGUGGUUCCACGCUCCUGAGCGCCCACGCUGCGCAGACCUGGCCGAUCUGCGAGGCGGCGGCAGCGCACUGAAGACCGUGGUGUUUCCCAAGCCCUCCCUGCUCCCGGGCCUCCAGGGCGCAGCAGGGGAGGGUUUUGUCCCCGUGGCCAAAGCUCUGCAGGUCGAACCUUAUCUGCUGUGGGAAGGCCCCGCAUUUUCAGAUUCACGCAGGGCCCUCUGCAGACUGUUGGCAGAAACAAGGUAGCCACCAAACACAUGCAUAAGCUGGACUUUUCCCAGAAUGCUGCAGCAGAACUACCCUCCAGAGAGACACCAGCCUGCGGGCCACAGUGCUACGUGAGUCUUGCAAAGAGGAGAUCUUUAUGGCGAGACUGAGAGCACUGCCUGCAUGCUUUACCAGAGCCCAGCCUCCAGCCUCCACGGAAAAUGUGUUUUGGAAUCAACACGCUUUGCAAAGGCUCCACACUGCUCUCUGGUAGCAUUGGCCUGGGCGCCCAGGCACCCCUUUAGAACCCACCUGUUCCCCCCACCCACCCUAGCGGGAGGAGGAGAGGGUUACACUGACAGAUACCGGCAGCUCUGCAACCCGGGAACAACGCAGACAACAUACAACUCGACAGAGUCACAGAAGGUGGCGUCCAUCGCGCCUGGAUGGUGACUACUGCCCUGCGGGCUGCUGGGUGGGUGAAACACACAGGGAAGAAGCACAAAUACACACACAGAUGUGGCUCAGGGACA